rnacentral:rRNA from 1 species
UACGUAGGGCGCAAGCGUUGUCCGGAAUUAUUGGGCGUAAAGAGCUCGUAGGCGGUUUGUCGCGUCUGCUGUGAAAACUCGAGGCUCAACCUCGGGCUUGCAGUGGGUACGGGCAGACUAGAGUGCGGUAGGGGUGACUGGAAUUCCUGGUGUAGCGGUGGAAUGCGCAGAUAUCAGGAGGAACACCGGUGGCGAAGGCGGGUCUCUGGGCAACAACUGACGCUGGAGGAGCGAAA